CAUAAAGGGUAGUGCAGCAGAAUCCCUUGACAGAAGGCCAAGGCAUACAUUAUUAUGCUGUUCUCUGUCUCAGUGACUCAAUCUUUUUUGCUACUGAUUGAAUCCUGAUUGAUACUGGCUCUGAAAUCUCAGCUUCACUGCAGCGAUGAGGAGUUGUGCCAGUGCUUCAACUCUUGCCAAGAUGACUUCAUCUGACUUGAGAGCUGCACUGGAGCCUUCACAUGUGAGCAUCUAUGCCAGAAAACCAGAGGAGUAACUCAAAGAAAUUAAGAAAUAAAGGAUACAGCUCCCUGUACUGUCACACUGAAUGCCUGUGUGACUUUAUAUGACAUUUGCAAUAUCAUGGAAAUUCUCACUCCUAUCAAUGAAAAUUAUUCUGACCAACAGUGGUGAAUUAAAAUGUAAGCCCAUGCAAGAA